GAUGAAUGCUAGCUACAGGCUUAACACAUGCAAGUCGAGGGGAAACGGCAUCGAAAGCUUGCUUUUGAUGGGCGUCGACCGGCGCACGGGUGAGUAACGCGUAUCCAACCUGCCCAUCACUUGGGAAUAACCUUGCGAAAGUAAGACUAAUGCCCAAUGACAUCCCACGAAGGCAUCCGAAUGGGAUUAAAGAUUUAUCGGUGAUGGAUGGGGAUGCGUCUGAUUAGCUUGUUGGCGGGGUGACGGCCCACCAAGGCAACGAUCAGUAGGGGUUCUGAGAGGAAGGUCCCCCACAUUGGAACUGAGACACUGUCCAAACUCCUACGGGAGGCAGCAGUGAGGAAUAUUGGUCAAUGGGCGAGAGCCUGAACCAGCCAAGUAGCGUGCAGGAUGACGGCCCUAUGGGUUGUAAACUGCUUUUAUAAGGGAAUAAAGUGGGUCACGUGUGACUUUUUGCAUGUACCUUAUGAAUAAGGACCGGCUAAUUCCGUG
rnacentral:rRNA from 1 species